rnacentral:lncRNA from 12 species
AUCUGCUGGCGCUGUGAACCUGUCUUUCACCCAACCAUGACCGCGGAGGACUGUUGGGGAAGUCCAAACCGCCUUCCACUGAGAUGGAAUGGAAGUUGCAGGAGAAUGAGAACAGAUUGCACCGAGAAGUCCUUUAACUCUCUUCAGGAAACACCUCUAGUUCAAGCAUUUUACAAAAAAUAACCUUUAAAAACUAACCAGGUUUCUGCUGCGUGGUUGAGCCAGCCAUGAGGGUUGUGCUGGUUACAUCUGAAUUAGCCCUGCUUGACAAUCGCUCUCAAACUCGGUUCCUACUUCACGCCAGCAGUUCUGCUCCCUGGGUGUGUGAUCGUAUGGGGCAGACGCCUUCGAAGGAGCUAUCGGACCCAGAUUAAGAACGCAUCGUAUACAAGAAGCAAAUGAGAAGGCACGACAUUUUCCCAAAAUCACCCAGGCAGGAAAAUCAACACGUCCUGCUCUUCAAUAGAGGGCCCAUCUCGCUCCCUGCUUUACGGGGAGCAGAAAUGUCUGGAAUCUAAAUCUGCCACAGGAGGGGUUUCUUUGCCUUCUCUCGAUGCUGUGAGCUGAAUGGCAGAUUUCAUCACCUCCAUUGUAAGGCACCUCUCAUUAUGAGAAACCAAACACAGAUCCUGGCUCCUAACUGGAGUAUUAAUAAUGAAAAUGGAUUAUGUGCAUCCUGUUUGCUAAGCAAUUAUCCCAAGGCAAGGAUUGAGUCCAGAUUUUUUGCCUCACUGCCUGAGUAGCAGAACAUGAAUAGAUAGACAGGUAUUUGCAUGCAGUGUCUCUGACCUGGAGAAAAUGUCAGGAGCUUGGGAGACGACCGGGAGAGCUGUAGAUGCAUAUUCUUUUGAAAUCUGGUUGGGAUUUUCAGUCUAUUCUUGGAAAAGGCAAAGAAAGGGGGAAAGACUCUGGAUUUGCUGUCACUGUUUAAAGAUAGCCUCCUGAGUCGAGGCGAGAGCAUUUUACUUUGCCCACCGUAAGUUUUUCAUUAACUGCGAGUGACUCCGGCUCCUACCUUCUCAAGGAGAUGAAAUGAGUUUUAUGUGGUUGAUGGCGAGGGGUGCUUUCCCUAGAUCUUUUAUAAAAUCUAGAUCUGAUCUUCUUAACCUAGGCACUUUUUAAUAAGAGUAGGCAUUUCUCUGAUGCCUUGGAUCUAAAUUUUCCUCUUCCCUUCAUUCGCUUG